rnacentral:rRNA from 2 species
UUAAGCGACUAAGCGUACACGGUGGAUGCCCUGGCAGUCAGAGGCGAUGAAGGACGUGCUAAUCUGCGAUAAGCGUCGGUGAGGUGAUAUGAACCGUUAUAACCGGCGAUUUCCGAAUGGGGAAACCCAGUGUGUUUCGACACACUAUCAUUAACUGAAUCCAUAGGUUAAUGAGGCGAACCGGGGGAACUGAAACAUCUAAGUACCCCGAGGAAAAGAAAUCAACCGAGAUUCCCCCAGUAGCGGCGAGCGAACGGGGAGGAGCCCAGAGCCUGAAUCAGUGUGUGUGUUAGUGGAAGCGUCUGGAAAGGCGCGCGAUACAGGGUGACAGCCCCGUACACAAAAAUGCACAUAUUGUGAGCUCGAUGAGUAGGGCGGGACACGUGGUAUCCUGUCUGAAUAUGGGGGGACCAUCCUCCAAGGCUAAAUACUCCUGACUGACCGAUAGUGAACCAGUACCGUGAGGGAAAGGCGAAAAGAACCCCGGCGAGGGGAGUGAAAAAGAACCUGAAACCGUGUACGUACAAGCAGUGGGAGCCUCUUUAUGGGGUGACUGCGUACCUUUUGUAUAAUGGGUCAGCGACUUAUAUUCUGUAGCAAGGUUAACCGAAUAGGGGAGCCGAAGGGAAACCGAGUCUUAACUGGGCGUUAAGUUGCAGGGUAUAGACCCGAAACCCGGUGAUCUAGCCAUGGGCAGGUUGAAGGUUGGGUAACACUAACUGGAGGACCGAACCGACUAAUGUUGAAAAAUUAGCGGAUGACUUGUGGCUGGGGGUGAAAGGCCAAUCAAACCGGGAGAUAGCUGGUUCUCCCCGAAAGCUAUUUAGGUAGCGCCUCGUGAAUUCAUCUCCGGGGGUAGAGCACUGUUUCGGCAAGGGGGUCAUCCCGACUUACCAACCCGAUGCAAACUGCGAAUACCGGAGAAUGUUAUCACGGGAGACACACGGCGGGUGCUAACGUCCGUCGUGAAGAGGGAAACAACCCAGACCGCCAGCUAAGGUCCCAAAGUCAUGGUUAAGUGGGAAACGAUGUGGGAAGGCCCAGACAGCCAGGAUGUUGGCUUAGAAGCAGCCAUCAUUUAAAGAAAGCGUAAUAGCUCACUGGUCGAGUCGGCCUGCGCGGAAGAUGUAACGGGGCUAAACCAUGCACCGAAGCUGCGGCAGCGACACUAUGUGUUGUUGGGUAGGGGAGCGUUCUGUAAGCCUGUGAAGGUGGCCUGUGAGGGUUGCUGGAGGUAUCAGAAGUGCGAAUGCUGACAUAAGUAACGAUAAAGCGGGUGAAAAGCCCGCUCGCCGGAAGACCAAGGGUUCCUGUCCAACGUUAAUCGGGGCAGGGUGAGUCGACCCCUAAGGCGAGGCCGAAAGGCGUAGUCGAUGGGAAACAGGUUAAUAUUCCUGUACUUGGUGUUACUGCGAAGGGGGGACGGAGAAGGCUAUGUUGGCCGGGCGACGGUUGUCCCGGUUUAAGCGUGUAGGCUGGUUUUCCAGGCAAAUCCGGAAAACCAAGGCUGAGGCGUGAUGACGAGGCACUACGGUGCUGAAGCGACAAAUGCCCUGCUUCCAGGAAAAGCCUCUAAGCAUCAGGUAACAUCAAAUCGUACCCCAAACCGACACAGGUGGUCAGGUAGAGAAUACCAAGGCGCUUGAGAGAACUCGGGUGAAGGAACUAGGCAAAAUGGUGCCGUAACUUCGGGAGAAGGCACGCUGAUAUGUAGGUGAAGCGACUUGCUCGUGGAGCUGAAAUCAGUCGAAGAUACCAGCUGGCUGCAACUGUUUAUUAAAAACACAGCACUGUGCAAACACGAAAGUGGACGUAUACGGUGUGACGCCUGCCCGGUGCCGGAAGGUUAAUUGAUGGGGUUAGCGGUAACGCGAAGCUCUUGAUCGAAGCCCCGGUAAACGGCGGCCGUAACUAUAACGGUCCUAAGGUAGCGAAAUUCCUUGUCGGGUAAGUUCCGACCUGCACGAAUGGCGUAAUGAUGGCCAGGCUGUCUCCACCCGAGACUCAGUGAAAUUGAACUCGCUGUGAAGAUGCAGUGUACCCGCGGCAAGACGGAAAGACCCCGUGAACCUUUACUAUAGCUUGACACUGAACAUUGAGCCUUGAUGUGUAGGAUAGGUGGGAGGCUUUGAAGUGUGGACGCCAGUCUGCAUGGAGCCGACCUUGAAAUACCACCCUUUAAUGUUUGAUGUUCUAACGUUGGCCCGUAAUCCGGGUUGCGGACAGUGUCUGGUGGGUAGUUUGACUGGGGCGGUCUCCUCCUAAAGAGUAACGGAGGAGCACGAAGGUUGGCUAAUCCUGGUCGGACAUCAGGAGGUUAGUGCAAUGGCAUAAGCCAGCUUGACUGCGAGCGUGACGGCGCGAGCAGGUGCGAAAGCAGGUCAUAGUGAUCCGGUGGUUCUGAAUGGAAGGGCCAUCGCUCAACGGAUAAAAGGUACUCCGGGGAUAACAGGCUGAUACCGCCCAAGAGUUCAUAUCGACGGCGGUGUUUGGCACCUCGAUGUCGGCUCAUCACAUCCUGGGGCUGAAGUAGGUCCCAAGGGUAUGGCUGUUCGCCAUUUAAAGUGGUACGCGAGCUGGGUUUAGAACGUCGUGAGACAGUUCGGUCCCUAUCUGCCGUGGGCGCUGGAGAACUGAGGGGGGCUGCUCCUAGUACGAGAGGACCGGAGUGGACGCAUCACUGGUGUUCGGGUUGUCAUGCCAAUGGCACUGCCCGGUAGCUAAAUGCGGAAGAGAUAAGUGCUGAAAGCAUCUAAGCACGAAACUUGCCCCGAGAUGAGUUCUCCCUGA